rnacentral:lncRNA from 1 species
CCUGUCUCUGGUCUGGGGACACAGUUCCCACUGUGGCUGUAAGGUCCUUGCUUGCCGCAGUCUGGCGGGGCACAAAUCACGAGCCACUGAAGCAGGAACAAACUUUAUUUCUGAACUCCACCAGCACACUCCACACACGCUCCCCAGGAACUCUCCCGAACGCCACGCGGCUCCUCCAGGAACCACCAACUGGAAAUCCCUCCUCCGGCACUUCCCCAACCAAUGUGAACUCUUCAGGAAUCCCCGCGAGAGCUCAAGCAGAACUCAACGGGAACUCCGCGAGAACUCAAAAGUCAUCAUCUUAAUGGCUCGCUGGCGUCACCUCUCAACCACUACUUCUGGCAAAAAUGCCAUGCGUCAUCCCGACUCCGACUCCGCUGUGGCCCUCAACACUUGCUUAGCCUCUCAAUGGCCAUCUUAAGUGACAGCCACCAUUUUAAGAAAAAUCUUUUACUUUCCACCUAAGGGCCUUUCUGACAAAGGCUUCCCACUCCUUCAUACCAACCCCACCCUUAACCACCUCCAUUAGGACCCUCCCGGCUCUAAACCCCAAGCCUGUUUUGCCUCUCUCCAUCUCUCUGUCAGCUCUGACAAAUAAACUCUCGUG